rnacentral:tRNA from 1 species
CUGGUUUCGGACGGGGGGAUAUGGCGGACUCAUAAUCCGUUGGUGCCGUGUUCGACUCACGGGAGGCCCACCA